GAUGAACGCUGGCGGCGUGCCUAACACAUGCAAGUCGAGCGAUUCUCUUCGGAGAAGAGCGGCGGACGGGUGAGUAACGCGUGGGUAACCUGCCCUGUACACACGGAUUACAUACCGAAAGGUAUGCUAAUACGAGAUAAUAUGCUUUUGUCGCAUGGUAGAAGUAUCAAAGCUCCGGCGGUACAGGAUGGACCCGCGUCUGAUUAGCUAGUUGGUAAGGUAACGGCUUACCAAGGCGACGAUCAGUAGCCGACCUGAGAGGGUGAUCGGCCACAUUGGAACUGAGACACGGUCCAAACUCCUACGGGAGGCAGCAGUGGGGAAUAUUGCACAAUGGGCGAAAGCCUGAUGCAGCAACGCCGCGUGAGCGAUGAAGGCCUUCGGGUCGUAAAGCUCUGUCCUCAAGGAAGAUAAUGACGGUACUUGAGGAGGAAGCCCCGGCUAACUACGUGCCAGCCGCCGCAGUAA
rnacentral:rRNA from 1 species